rnacentral:rRNA from 1 species
GAUGAACGCUGGCGGCGUGCCUAAUACAUGCAAGUCGAGCGAACAGAUGAGGAGCUUGCUCCUCUGACGUUAGCGGCGGACGGGUGAGUAACACGUGGAUAACCUACCUAUAAGACUGGGAUAACUUCGGGAAACCGAAGCUAAUACCGGAUAAUAUAUUGAACCGCAUGGUUCAAUAGUGAAAGACGGUUUUGCUGUCACUUAUAGAUGGAUCCGCGCCGCAUUAGCUAGUUGGUAAGGUAACGGCUUACCAAGGCAACGAUGCGUAGCCGACCUGAGAGGGUGAUCGGCCACACUGGAACUGAGACACGGUCCAGACUCCUACGGGAGGCAGCAGUAGGGAAUCUUCCGCAAUGGGCGAAAGCCUGACGGAGCAACGCCGCGUGAGUGAUGAAGGUCUUCGGAUCGUAAAACUCUGUUAUUAGGGAAGAACAAAUGUGUAAGUAACUAUGCACGUCUUGACGGUACCUAAUCAGAAAGCCACGGCUAACUACGUG